rnacentral:rRNA from 1 species
UACAGAGGUGGCAAGCGUUGUUCGGAAUUACUGGGCGUAAAGGGCGCGUAGGCGGUCCCGUAAGUUCCGCGUGAAAUCCCCCGGCUCAACCGGGGAAUGGCGCGGAAAACUGCGGGGCUUGAGUUCGGGAGAGGGAAGCGGAAUUCCGGGUGUAGCGGUGAAAUGCGUAGAUAUCCGGAGGAACACCGGUGGCGAAGGCGGCUUCCUGGACCGACACUGACGCUGAGGCGCGAAAGCUAGGGGAGCAAACGGG